CAACCGAGUCGGGUAGCUUGGGAAUGCUGCUCUAAUUGGUGGUAAAUCUCAUCAAAGGCUAAAUAGUGGUGGGAGACCGAUAGCGAACAAGUACCGUGAGGGAAAGAUGGAAAGAACUUUGAAAAGAGAGUGAAAAGCACUUGAAACCGUCACGGGGGAAGCGGAUUGCGUGAGUGAUGGUGUCGCUUGUUCAGCGCUUUAUUGCGUGCAUUCUGGCGGCGCCGUGCCGGCGUGGCUGGCUGGACUGUGAUUUUGACAGUCUCGGCUGGUGAGGGCUCCCUCGUAUGAGGUGAGGACGCGGGCAAAAUGACGCAAUACGACCCGUCUUGAAACACGGACCAAGGAGUCUAGCACGGCUGCGAGUCGAAGAGUGAUUAAACUCAAGGGCGCAGUGAAAGCGAAAUUAUAAGCAAAUUGGGGAGGCGUUGCGUUUUUAACAAAAUGUCCUACCUCGAGCAUUUGUGCUGGGACCCGAAAGAUGGUGAACUAUGCCGGAGUAGGGCAAAGCCAGAGGAAACUCUGGUGGAGGCUCGUAGCGAUGCUGACGUGCAAAUCGCUCGUCGAACUUGGGUAUAGGGGCGAAAGACUAAUCGAACCAUCUAGUAGCUGGUUCCCUCCGAAGUUUCUCUCAGGAUAGCGGGCCGACACGCGUUUGUUGUUUUGUGCGGUAAAGCGAAUGAUUAGUGCAUUUGGGGUACGAAGUACUUCGGGCGAUUCUCAAACUUUAAAUGCGCAAGGGGGUGGCUGCUUAAUUGAGCCUACUCUUUGAAAAACGUCGGCCCUGUGGGCCACUUUUGGUAAGC
rnacentral:rRNA from 1 species